UACGAAGGGUGCAAGCGUUACUCGGAAUUACUGGGCGUAAAGCGUGCGUAGGUGGUUCGUUAAGUCUGUCGUGAAAGCCCCGGGCUCAACCUGGGAAUUGCGAUGGAGACUGCAAGGCUUGAAUCUGGCAGAGGGGGGUAGAAUUCCACGUGUAGCAGUGAAAUGCGUAGAGAUGUGGAGGAACACCGAUGGCGAAGGCAGCCCCCUGGGUCAGGAUUGACGCUCAUGCACGAAAGCGUGGGGAGCAAACAGG
rnacentral:rRNA from 1 species